AUACAUACCGCCGCUGAUUGUGAUUUCAACGAAGAAGCACCGGAAAAUGGGAGUUUUCACAUUCGUCUGCAAAUCCUCCGGCGGCAAAUGGACUGCCAAGCAGCUAAAGGGAGACCUUGAAGGCUCCGCCGACUCUACCUACGCUCUUCAGAGGUCUCUUGUUCAGGCCGCUUAUUCUUGCGACUCUUCCGGUGGUAUCCAGUCUUCUUUCAGCUACGUACUCCCCGAUUCUGCUGUUUUUCAGGUAUAAUUACGCUUUGAUCUGUUCAUAUCUGUUUGUCUCUAUUUCGACUUUGAAUGUCGCUGUGGGUUGAUUGAUGGUAAAUCGUUGAUUAGUCCUUAAUCAUGGUGAAUUUGCUUUGUACAUUUGAUUUAAAUGUUAGAAGUAAACAUAUCUAUUAUCUUUGUGUAUCUUAUUUCGCUAGAUCUAACUCUGACAUAGUAGACGACAAUCACUGUGCACAAUUUAUUAUGCAUUUUGAUUUAAUCCGAGUGAUUACUGUUGCAGCUAUUCGUAGUUCUUGUCUGAUUUUGGUAAACAAGUUUGAACAUGAAAUCAAAAUAUUUGAGCAUGUGUAAUUCUGUUUACAUUUUUUCCUUGAUUUUUUGGUUUUAAAUAUCAGAUUUUUUUAAAAAAAGUUCUAACCAAAACUGAUAAAUUGAAUAAUCAUCAAACCUGAAACUUAGAGUAAGUAGUAGUAGCCCAUUUAUUUUGUGAGGUUAAAAAUGCAAUAUACUUUAUUAUCGGCUUUCUGCUUUUAUUUCUUUCUUGUUACAAGAUUGUACUUUGAAAAAUCUAUUUACUAAUAGCAAUGUAGAAAGCAAUAAUUAAUGCUGAAAUGGGUGGAUUUAAUAAAUAUCCAGUCCUCUAAAACGGAAACAUUUGAAAUUAUAAUGAUAUAAAUCUAUAAUUGAGAUCAUUUAAAAGUAAGAUGCUGGAAUGAAAAAAUAAACAAAAGUAAAUUGCUAGUUUUUGGAUUUAGUCUUUUUUCAAACACCAAAAAUCUGUUCUACAUAUAAUAUUUGGAGCCUCUUCUGUGCAGGUGAUCAUUGGUGGUGGUGGUGGUGGUGGCUCUUUUGGUGGUGGUGCUGCAGCAGCAUCAUCAGCACCAGCUGGAGGUGCAGCAGCUGCUGAAGCACCUGCUGCUGAGGAGAAGAAGGAAGAGAAGGAGGAGAGUGAUGAUGACAUGGGUUUCUCACUCUUUGAUUAAUUCUUCUAUUUCUUUAUACAAUGUUAUGUUCAUCGUAUGUUUUCUUAUCAAGUUUUGAUAUUGUUGGUAGAUUAUUGGU
rnacentral:lncRNA from 1 species